AACAGUUUCCUUACUUUUCUGAGAUUUAUUUCACUUUGUGUUCUGUUGUUGGAUUUGUCAUUUAUUCAAAGCCGAAACUGAAACCGUCCAUCCUGGAGAUGUCUGUCUCUGUGUUCCUGAAUCGAAGUUUUAUUUGAUUUUCAUACUCAGAUUUCUGCUUUAGGGAUACGGUUUGGGCUUUGAUAAAUUUUGUUGUCUGAAUUUAGACACACACUUUAACUUCUGUCUUAAUUGGUUCGAGACGGGUCUUUGUACAAUUAAAGUUGGAUGAACAGAUUUUAACAAUGUCAAAACUCUGUUAACUUCUCACUUUUUAUGUAACGAUCCAAUUCCGGUUACAGAAAUUGUUAGCAUGCUAAGGAUCGAACGCUUAUACAAGGGCUCAAUAAUUUGAGUAUAAAAGCCUCUUCACCACCUUGUUUUCUCAGAAACAUCAAGAAAAGAAGAAAAAGAAAUAGAAGUUGGAGAUAGAGAGAGAGAAAGAGAACGAGAGAGAGAAGAGGUGAAAAGUGCACCACCUGAUUUCGUCACCAGAGCCACCGCACGCCAAGACCAAGUUGAGCUCAUCGCCACCAUUCACCGCAGCCCAGAAUUGUCGGAAACCACCAUGCAAUCAAGCUUAGUUUCGUCCGUUUAGUAAAUCGACCAUAACUCUCUAACCGUCGCGAAUUUCGUGCAUGCAAGACCACCAUCGCGUUCCUCUCGUCGAGACGAAUCCGUAGCCACCAGAAUCGCCGCAAUCGGAGCUCGGACGAAGCCGUACGCACCCUCCGAAGUUUCGCCGGAAAUCGCCAACGCACCACCGGACCACCGCUGCUCCGCCGUAGUUCGCCACCGUCGCCGCCGCCGGAACACCGCUUCUCCGCUGCCGGACCGCCGUUGCCGCCGAUUUGGAGUCUAUUUGAGCAUCUGGAGUUCAUAGAUACCACUUCUCUACAUUUUCUAAGGUGAGACAAGCAUCAAUGUGAUAUUUGGACGGACUCGGUGCUAUUGGACUCUUCCUUCGGAUUUUAUUUUGGGCAUGGGCUGAGAGUAUAGUUAGGUAUAUGGCCUUUUGUAUUAUGUGUUAUGGUUGGUGGCCCGUCGUUCACAAUAUUGUGGAGACUGGUGUCACAUUAUUAUUUGUUGAGGUGUCGGUUGACAUGUGGCCAUUUAGUUAGAAAGUGACGGGUGUCACAAUUUUUGGUAUCAGAGCCAGGUUCCGUCCCGGUUCCGUCCCGGGAUGGCGGUCAGGGGAU